rnacentral:rRNA from 1 species
AGAGUUUGAUCCUGGCUCAGAUUGAACGCUGGCGGCAUGCCUUACACAUGCAAGUCGAACGGUAGAGGGGCAACCCUUGAGAGUGGCGAACGGGUGAGUAAUAUAUCGGAACGUGCCCAGUCGUGGGGGAUAACGCAGCGAAAGCUGCGCUAAUACCGCAUACGAUCUAUGGAUGAAAGCGGGGGAUCGCAAGACCUCGCGCGAUUGGAGCGGCCGAUAUCAGAUUAGGUAGUUGGUGGGGUAAAAGCCCACCAAGCCGACGAUCUGUAGCUGGUCUGAGAGGACGACCAGCCACACUGGGACUGAGACACGGCCCAGACUCCUACGGGAGGCAGCAGUGGGGGAUUUUGGACAAUGGGCGCAAGCCUGAUCCAGCAAUGCCGCGUGCAGGACGAAGGCCUUCGGGUUGUAAACUGCUUUUGUACGGAGCGAAACGGUCUGGGUUAAUACCCUGGGCUAAUGACGGUACCGUAAGAAUAAGCACCGGCUAACUACGUGCCAGCCGCCGCGGUAAUUC